GACGAACGCUGGCGGCGUGCUUAACACAUGCAAGUCGAACGGAAAGGCCCUGCCUUUGUGGGGUGCUCGAGUGGCGAACGGGUGAGUAACACGUGAGUAACCUGCCCUUGACUUUGGGAUAACUUCAGGAAACUGGGGCUAAUACCGCAUAGGAGCUACUGCCGCAGGGUGGGGGUUGGUAAGUUUCGGCGGUUGGGGAUGGAAUCGCGCCUUAUCAGCUUGUUGCUGGGGUAGUGGCUUACCAAGACUUUGACGCGUAGCCGGGCUGAGAGGGUGGGCUGCCCCGUUACCACUGGACUACGGCCCAGUCUACUCCGGGAGGCGGCGGUGAGGUAGAUUGCACAGUGCAAGGAGCGCAUGUGCGGCACCGCAACGUGGGGGAUGAGGGCAAUGCGUUUGUAUUCCAAUUUCGCCUGUCCCGGAGCGAGAAUGACAGUACUGGGUGAAGAAGCACCGGCUAACUCCGUG
rnacentral:rRNA from 1 species